rnacentral:lncRNA from 12 species
GGGGUCUGGAGGUCCAGAGACAGGGGCCUGAAGGUCCAGAGACAGGGCUCUGGAGGUCCAGAGACAGGGGCCUGAAGGUCCAGAGACAGGGGCCUGGAGGUCCAGAGACAGGGGCCUGAAGGUCCAGAGACAGGGCUCUGGAGGUCCAGAGACAGGGGCCCGAAGGGCCAGAGACAGGGCUCUGGAGGGCCAGAGACAGGGGCCCGAAGGUCCAGAGACAGGGGCCUGGAGGUCCAGAGACAGGGGCCUGAAGGUCCAGAGACGGGGCUGAAGGUCCAGAGACAGGGGUCUGGAGGUCCAGAGACAGGGGUCUGAAGGUCCAG